rnacentral:rRNA from 1 species
UUUUAUGGAGAGUUUGAUCCUGGCUCAGAGUGAACGCUGGCGGCGUGCCUAAUACAUGCAAGUCGAACGAUGAAGCUUCUAGCUUGCUAGAAGUGGAUUAGUGGCGCACGGGUGAGUAAGGUAUAGUUAAUCUGCCCUACACAAGAGGACAACAGUUGGAAACGACUGCUAAUACUCUAUACUCCUGCUUAACACAAGUUGAGUAGGGAAAGUUUUUCGGUGUAGGAUGAGACUAUAUAGUAUCAGCUAGUUGGUAAGGUAAUGGCUUACCAAGGCUAUGACGCUUAACUGGUCUGAGAGGAUGAUCAGUCACACUGGAACUGAGACACGGUCCAGACUCCUACGGGAGGCAGCAGUAGGGAAUAUUGCGCAAUGGGGGAAACCCUGACGCAGCAACGCCGCGUGGAGGAUGACACUUUUCGGAGCGUAAACUCCUUUUCUUAGGGAAGAAUUCUGACGGUACCUAAGGAAUAAGCACCGGCUA